AAGCAGCUUGCUGCUUUGCUGACGAGUGGCGGACGGGUGAGUAAUGUCUGGGAAACUGCCUGAUGGAGGGGGAUAACUACUGGAAACGGUAGCUAAUACCGCAUAACGUCGCAAGACCAAAGAGGGGGACCUUCGGGCCUCUUGCCAUCGGAUGUGCCCAGAUGGGAUUAGCUAGUAGGUGGGGUAAAGGCUCACCUAGGCGACGAUCCCUAGCUGGUCUGAGAGGAUGACCAGCCACACUGGAACUGAGACACGGUCCAGACUCCUACGGGAGGCAGCAGUGGGGAAUAUUGCACAAUGGGCGCAAGCCUGAUGCAGCCAUGCCGCGUGUAUGAAGAAGGCCUUCGGGUUGUAAAGUACUUUCAGCGGGGAGGAAGGGAGUAAAGUUAAUACCUUUGCUCAUUGACGUUACCCGCAGAAGAAGCACCGGCUAACUCCGUGCCAGCAGCCGCGGUAAUACGGAGGGUGCAAGCGUUAAUCGGAAUUACUGGGCGUAAAGC
rnacentral:rRNA from 1 species